rnacentral:tRNA from 1 species
GGGGCGAUAGCUCAGAUGGUUAGAGCAACGGACUCAUAAUCCGUGGGUCGUGGGUUCAAGCCCCACUCGCCUUA